AUUGAACGCUGGCGGCAGGCCUAACACAUGCAAGUCGAACGCGUGGCGGACGGGUGAGUAAUGUCUGGGAAACUGCCUGAUGGAGGGGGAUAACUCCUGGAAACGGUAGCGAAUACCGCAUACCAGCAGAUGUGCGCAGAGGGGAUUCGCUCGUUGGUGGGGUAACGGCUCACCAAGGCGACGAGCCCUCGCUGGUCUGAGAGGGCGACCAGCCACAUUGGAACUGAGACACGGUCCAGACUCCUACGGGAGGCAGCAGUGGGGAAUAUUGCACAAUGGGCGAAAGCCUGAUGCAGCAAUGCCGCGUGUAUGAAGAAGGCCUUCGGGUUGUAAAGUACUUUCAGCGGGGAGGCGUUACCCGCAGAAGAAGCACCGGCUAACUCCGUGCCAGCCGCCGCGGUAAUAC
rnacentral:rRNA from 1 species